rnacentral:lncRNA from 1 species
UUAUAACUCCUAAUUACUAAAAGGCUAGAACGGCGCCCUCUUCAUCGACCAUUAAUUUCCUCCACAAACAAUAUCCAAAAUUCUUGGAAAGUUUCCGCUGAUUCUGAGAAUUUCUUCCUACUAGAGGCAAACCCAUCAGCUAAAAUCACGGAGCAAAUAGUUUCUACAGCUGAAAAACACAGAACCUUCAGACCCUCUUCCUCAAAUAAGAUCUCGUGUGCCACCAUAUUACUGCGCUUGAGUUUGCAGUGACUUUUUCGGAUCCAAAUUAAAGUACUUGUUUUCUUCGGGUCAGUGCUUGUUGUCGCAUUAAUUAGUAUGGGUAUAAGCACAUGUUCUGAAUCAAGUUUUUCAUAUUUCUUGUAUGUUAUUCCUGUGUUGCAUAUGACUAUGCCAAGCCAUUAAUUGUACUUAUAUUGGAGCAUUAGUUUAAAAAGUUGUGUCACUCUUUGUACGUUGUUGUUUAGUAGGUGCAAAUAAGAAUACAUGUGGUUUCUAGCAUGAAGUUGAUUGGAGUGAUAGAAGGAAACAUCCAAAUUCAUCACAUCUUUAUAACGGUGCAAGGUACACAUAAGAUCAUAGAAUGGAACAUACAUUCUCAUCUUUUAAAUUUUUAGAAAAACGUAAUUUUCUUUGACAUUGAUUAUUACAGAACAUGCAUAUUAGAAAAGUAUGGACGACACUGCUUUACCAGCUCAUUGUUCUUGUUAAAUAUAAUUCAACUAUGAAUGGGUAAACGAAUUUUGGUCUGAACCCCGAGUUUGGACCAAGCGGACCCGGGGUCAAUUUUGAAUUUUGGAAAAAAUAUUGGGAAAUCUAUAUUCAUGCAUUAGAAUUGGUUUGUUUAGCCUAUAUUGAUGUUAUUAAAUAAUUUAUGACUAGAUACGAGCGGAUUAGAGGUGGGACUGAGAGGUAAAGCAGUAAUUGAGGCUUGAUUUUUGUCCGUGGAAUCGAGGUAAGUGUUUGGUCUAACCUUAGCUUGAAGGAUUAUGAGUCGUGUCUUAUUUGCUACGUGUUAACUGUGGAGUACGACGUAUAGGCAUCAUGACGAGUAUCUAUACGUCGGUGUCAAGCAUGCCUGUGAGUCUUGUAUUGUAAUUGUUAUGACUUUGUUGUGGUUUAUUACGCUUCAUAUGAGGAUUAUCAUUAUUGUUCCAUUGCCGGGAUGUUAUUAUCAUUAUUGUUCCCUUGCCGGGAUGUUAUUGUCAUAUUAUUGUUCCUUUACCGGGAUGUUUUUUUGAUAUUAUUAUUCCCUUGCCGAGAUGUUGUUGUAAUAUUAUUGUUCCCUUGUGGGGAUGUUGUUAUAUUGCUAUUGUUCCCUUGCCGGGAUUCUUUUAUGAUUGGUGUUGAUAAAUGAAAUGGGAGCGGGUUGCAUGCCUGCAACGAUAAUCUAUGAAAUGGGAGUGGGUUGCACGCCUACAACAGUAAUCUAUGAAAUGGGAGCGGGUUGCACGCCUGCAAUGGUAAUAUAUGAAAUAGGAGCGGGUUGCACGCCUGCAACGAUAGUAUAUGAAAUGGGAGCGGGUUGCAUGCCUGCAACGAUAUCAUAUGAAAUGGGAUCGGGUUGCACUCCUGCAACGGUAUUACAUGUGUACAUGUUCUUCUAUUUCCUUAUCCUUGCUGGUAAUUAAUUUAUGGCAUUCCUUAUAUUGCUCUACUGUUGUUCUGUUGUUAUUUGUUACUCCUCACAGCAUGUUUCCCCCGCCCAACUUUAGUUGUAAUUGUCUGCUUCUAUUUUCGGUGUAUAUGAUUUAACUACAUAGGUUAUUUGGUAGUCUGGUCCUAGCCUCGUCACUACUUCGCCGAGGUUAGGCUAGGCACUUACCAGCACAUGGGGUCGGUUGUGCUGAUACUGCACUCUGCACUGUGUGCAGAUACUGAUACCGGAGUAUUUGGACCGCAGUGAGGGUGUUGUCUUCAGUCCACACAAGCGACCCGAGGUAGUCCUGCAGACGUCCACGGGCCUUGGCGUCUCCUCUUUCUAUUUUUACUUAUUCAGAGACAGACUUAUGUAUUUCAUUCAGACUUUGUUUGUAGUAUUCUUAAAUAGUUCGUAACUUGUGACACCAAAUUCUGGGUAGUAUUGUACACCAAAUUCUAGGUAGUAUUGUACUCCAAAUUAUGUAGCAGUGUUUGAUUGGAAUAUUAUGUUUCGGCUUCCGCAUUUCCGAUUGUUUAAUCUUAUUCUGUUGUUUAACCA